UAUUGGACAAUGGGCGCAAGCCUGAUCCAGCAAUACCGCGUGUGUGAAGAAGGCCUUAGGGUUGUAAAGCACUUUCAAUUGGGAGGAAAACCUGCCGGUCAAUACCCGGUAGCUUGACAUUACCUUUAGAAGAAGCACCGGCUAACUCCGUGCCAGCAGCCGCGGUAAUACGGAGGGUGCGAGCGUUAAUCGGAAUUACUGGGCGUAAAGCGUGCGUAGGCGGUUCGUUAAGUCAGAUGUGAAAGCCCUGAGCUCAACCUGGGAACUGCAUUUGAAACUGGCGGACUAGAGUUUAGUAGAGGGGAGUGGAAUUUCAGGUGUAGCGGUGAAAUGCGUAGAUAUCUGAAGGAACACCAGUGGCGAAGGCGACUCCCUGGACUAGAACCGACGCUGAGGACGAAA
rnacentral:rRNA from 1 species